AUUGAACGCUGGCGGCAGGCCUAACACAUGCAAGUCGAGCGAGCGGCGGACGGGUGAGUAAUGUAUGGGGACUGCCCGCUAGAGGGGGAUAACUACUGGAAACGGUGGCUAAUACCGCAUACUAUCGGAUAACCCAUAGGGGAUUAGCUAGUAGGUGGGGUAAGGGCUCCCCUGGGAGACUAUCUCUAGCUGGUCUGAGAGGAUGAUCAGCCGCACGGGGAUGGAGACACGGCCCAGACGCCUACGGAGGCAGCAGUGGGGAAUAUUGCACAAUGGGCGCAAGCCUGAUGCAGCCAUGCCGCGUGUAUGAAGAAGGCCUUAGGGUUGUAAAGUACUUUCAGCGGGGAGGCGUUACCCGCAGAAGAAGCACCGGCUAACUCCGUGCCAGCCGCCGCGGUAAUAC
rnacentral:rRNA from 1 species